AGAUAGUGAAUCGUCAUAUGUCCCAACAGGUGGUGAAUCGUCAAAUGUCUCUACAGGUAAUGAAUGGUCAAAUGUCUCUACAGGUAGUCAAUCGUCAUAUGUCCCAACAGAUGAUGAACAGGAGAAUGUCCAAUUAGUUAGCGUCAACCAGUCAAAAAAACCUCAAGUUUGCGGGGGUUCAUUAAAACGACUUUGUUCAACUGUCAAAUGCUGCCAGUUGUGUAAUAAGGCUCCUCCGACAAAUGACUAAUGAGACACCUUGUAUAAAAUGUUGCUGCAAUCCGUGCUGGUGCAAAAAAAAUAUCCAGAAAUGACAACAAU